UGGGUUAGGAAAAGCUCCCCAGGAUGGCCUUGUUGUCUGAAAUAAAAGUGUGUAGCUCUGGGAUAAUUACUGCUCUCAAGAGUCGUGUUUUGCAGACAAGCUUCCCUUGGGAUUUUUGAGAGUCUAAAUAAGGGCCAAACCAACUUGAGAGCUGUUGCCAAACCCCAGUCAUGUAGAGAUCAUGCGAUGGUUUCUACAAAACCAUGGGCCUGGCAUGGAAACGAUUGAUUGUGCUGGGCUUUGUUCGGUUUUGCACUCCAGGCUCUCUGCUCCCUCCUCUCCCAGCAAGAGCUGCAGCUGAGGGGAGACAGAAAAGCUCUGUAGAGGAGGCCUGGGGGUGUCUACAGAGAAGAAGAAGGGCAGGCAGCCAAAGGCUAUCAUAAACAGCCCAGAGCUUCCUGGUCAUAGCCCCUGCUGCUUCUCUGGAAAAAAUAAAAAAAAUAAAAUAAAAAGGAGAAGAGUUGGCAGUGUCACUAGCUCAGCUGUGUUCUAGGGGAAACUAGAACUCAUCCAAACAAUUCAAGGCCUUUGUUUUGUGGUUAGAGGUGGUUUUUUUUUUUCUUUUUUUUUCUUUUUUUUUUUUUUUCUUUUUGGAUGAGAUGCAUUUGGUAGCUAAAUGAGACCUUUGGUUUGUCUAAAGCAUCGUCUUGAAAGUCUGACAUGUUUUGGUUGCACAUUUUUGGAAGGAUGCAUGUUUCUGAGAUGUUUUAUGCUGUCAGGUUUAUGAAGCAACUGGUUUCCCAUGAUGAUCAGCCAAAGGUGCCCCAUCAACCUCUGGUGUUUUUACUGUGAACUCUGGAGCCUGGUGCCUGGCUCAUGCUGUAAAUAUUUAGAAAAAUGAAGCAAAUGAAGGAGUUGACACCAAGUCCUGGGCAGGGACAAGAAACCACUGGCACCCAUCGAUCUGAGCAUACUGGUGAGCCCAGCCCAGGGAUGAAAAACAGAUGUCGAGAGGGCCAAACAAAAUUUGCUGUUAAGUUUCUUUUGGUGAAGUCAACCACAAAACGGAAGAAAAGCUAAAAGGGAGAAAUGGGAACGGAAAGACUUUUAAAUGGAGAGGAAGGAGGAGAUGCCCAGCUGCUAAGGGAAGGGGCUGGCAGCAGUGGUAUGGGUUGUGGUAGCCACAAUGCAUCCCAGUGCCACAAACACAUGCAUCAAUAAAACCCCAAGGAGAGGGAAGUCACUUUUUCCCAUAGGCCCUGCAGUACAUUGGGUGCUUGCAAAAAACUCCAGGAAAGUUGGGCUUGGGGCCAGAGCCAUUACUGCCUUUACCGCCAGGCGAGUUGGCACAGGAAAAGGGAAGCAGACGGAGCAAUUUAUACCUUACCAGUUUCACUGCACGUGAAAAAUCAAAGAGCUCAUGGGUGAGGUCAGCUGGCAGAGAGGGAAGAGUCAAGGGCUGAGCAGUCCCCUGGGGCUGGUGGCGUGCAGGGCACCAGGACGGGCAGGAGGGAGAGCAAACCUCAGCCAGGUAUCUGCCACAGCAGCAGUGCUGCAGGGUCUGGAAGGCAAGGUGGUCUUCUCAAAGCCCAGCAGCUGCUACUGAGGACUCUCCUUUGUGGUCUUCCACUUCUGUGCUGGGAUCCCUGACAAUCGGACACUCUUUAAAGGAACUGCUUGGUUCUGCUUACAGGGACUUUCUCCUGCCAGCAGAUUUCUGCAUUUAUCACUACGUGUCCCCUUUCAGGCCCCGGUUGCCUUCCCCUCCUCUUCGCCACACCAACUUCAGUGCUUCCUGCUGACAGCACCCAAAUGGAUGUUACCUCCAGCAGAAUAAAAGGGUCAGAGGAGUUACAAGGUCUCUGUGUCUAUAAAUUUAGAGGGAACCCUUUUCUUUCCUGAAAUUUCUGGAUGCCAGAGCACCUGAUCAUACCAGGAUUAUGCUGAUUGAACCUCCGCAGGUGAAAUGCCUUCAGGUUUUCCCUGUGUUUAAAGGAUUUACCAAUUGCUCUACCAGACACACCAGCACCCAUCCAGCUCCUGGACUGAAAGGCCACAGCUGUGAAUGAGGAGCCAAAGUCAAAACCAGCGAGCACAUGGGUAGGAUUUAUGAAGGGACUUUGUUAAAGCUGAUGCCCUGAGUGGGAAAUCACUGACACUCUUUCAGAGAAACAAAGAGGGAAGGGGGGCACUUAAAAGCUGUCCUUCUUGGUUCUUGGUUGGGGGUGAGCAAUGGGGGAUGUUGUCUGGCUAAGGACACAGCUCCUCUACACGCUGCUACCUGCUUCUCCUGGGCUGUAGGAAGGUGCAGGUAGAAGACAAGGGCUCCCACGAGCCAGGAGUUCAUGCACAAACUGACAAAUCCCCUCUUCUUCCAAGGUCACAUUUACUUUUUCAGAUGGAGCUGCAGCUCGAGGUAAUCUCCGGGAUCGCACUGGUGGCAAUCUCCAGGACUAGCUGCACUUGCUGGGAGCAGAUAUCUAGACAAUGCUUCGAGGUGCUCCUUUAGCACAGGAUCUGCUCUGCAACCCCAGCAACUUUGAGUUCCACACCCAGAGUCGGGAGAUGUUUUCUCUUGCAGCCUGCAGUACGUGCGCAGUGCAGGGAAGGCAGGUGGAGACACCAACCACAUCUAACACGGAGACGUUUUGCUGCUGCUCGUGUUCCUAAGAUCAACACAGCUGAGCUAGCGAACACAUCAAAACCUAGAACAUUAAAAGGAAGCAGGCCACAGGUCUAAGCAAAGGAAAGGUGGCUUUUCCAGUAUGAAUAUGCACAGCAGUAAGGGAUAUUAGCCAGGCUAAGUGGUGACCAGGCGCAGAGGCAGUGGGAAAAUUAAUCUUUGGCAUCACAGCAACCGAACCCAGCCUGUUUCACCUGUUCCUGUGUCUUCACAAUGGGGAACUCCAGGGAUUUCAGAAGAUUGGAUACUGCCAAACGCAGCACCCAUUGUCAUAAAGGGGAUGGGGGAGACUCUGGGCAAAUACAGAGCAGUCAGCCCAGGCCCCAGUCUUGGGAAAAAAAAUCUGAAAUAAAUCAUCAAACCAUUUGUAACGCUGCAGGGGCUAUCAGGGAGAUGGGAAUGAACAGCAAGAGCCUUGUGACAGAUGGGUGUUAUUCCCACCUGUGGCAAGGUGGCAAAAUCUGUAGUUAGGG